CGCGGGGAGGGAAGCGGCCACGGAGCGAGUCUUACUGCUUCCUCAGGUUAAAAGAAAAUAAAGAAUUAAAGCUGCGAUUCCGCGCACAGCUCUGGGAAGCGUUGGCUCGUAUUGGCUUGGUUCCAUAAACAAGUAUGGGGAAGAGUCUGAAGGAUGGAGACCAAGGAAGUGCUGCUCAUAGAAUUUUUCCCAAAGCAGUUUGAUUCAAAGGUCUGAUGGAAACCCACUCACUUCACAAGGAUUGAAG